AGCACCGCAACAGGGACUCGGGAGGGGCGGAGGGGGCGAGGCAGGGGCCACGGCCCCGGGGGAUCCUCGGCCCCACUGUGCACCACACACUCCUUUCCCUGCCCAGGGGCACGCGAUCAAAAUGAGGCUCAAGCUGACCAGGCCGAGCCGGAGGAACGCUGGGGCUUGGCAGCAGAAGGGUUGGGACCAGAGAGAAGGGUGUGGAGGAGACCCCAGUGAGGGCCAGGACAUUUCAGAUAAAGAGAGGUCAUAUCUCCGUACCUCACUUCCUGACACAAACAAGUUUUCACUGUUGUCAGCAACAAAGCCCUAAUAUAGCUGCGGAAGAGAAAAACUGCAUUGCAUUUUGCCUCCUGCAAGCAUCGUCAACAGUUACUGGAGGAAUGUAAUUCCAGAAAGCUUGAAAGCCGUGGUGAUGGUAAUUAUGUAUCAAAUGCCUGGUUCUAUUUCUGUUAUUAUUGUUUUGUCAUUUCUGUUCUCCCAGCGAUCUGACUGAACUCGCAGAGGGGCAAAUCCGGUUUUUCUUUUUUGACUUUUGUCAAACUGAAUCAGGCCUGAUAGAAAAACUCAUUGCUCUCCGGGGAAACAAAGUAGGAGCCACGAAAUGUCAUUUUAACAGAGCGUGGGUUUGCUGACUGUAGGAAAGGAUUUGAGGACGCUCCUUCUGUUCGGCUUCCUAUGUCAUGAGCACAGGCUCCACGCACGCACAGACACCACGGCUCCCGGAUGCUGUGGCUCCGCGAUCUGGGCUCCUGCAGCGCCAGAAGCCCCUCCGGGAUGCUGCGAGGGGCUCCCGGUGGGUGGAGGUACGGACGCCGCUGCGUCCGCCGCCGCCGCCAGUCCUGCUGCUGUUGUUGCUGCUGCAGUCACGUGGGAGCCCCUUUAAGUUUCCAUAGAGAGGCCUCUCCGGUGUCACAUGAUGGACAUGAUAUAAUGAAACAACAUUGUGGAGAGGAAAGCAUUAGGGGAGCCCACGGCUACAAAAACAAGUGAGUGAGAAGAGGUGGGAGGAAGAGAAACUACGCCACCUCCCCUGCAGCCGAGCGCACGCAACAGCCUGGCGUGACAAGUGGGCGAUGCCGGGGGAGGGGGCAGGGAGCCGGGGUCCUCGACCCUGGCCGGGGACCUCACCGCCCACCGCCCACCGCGCGAACAACUUUUAGCCCGCAGCCCCGGUCGGCGCGGCACCUGUCUGCGGAGUCUCCACCGCUCCUCCAGAUCAUCCCAGGGAAAUUCUCGAAGAAUACGCUCUACAAAUCUACGUGCGCAUCGUUUUCCCCUCGCAUCGCCCCCGGGAGGAAGGAACCAGGCAAAGAGCUAAGCAGCGUGCCUUUAGCCCUGGGGCAUUUUAUUAAUGCUUUUACGAGUUAGAAGAGUUGAGAUACGGUGCCAUCUGGAGUUUCUCUGCCUUGCUGAUCUGAGCUCAGACCUGCCAGUUUAUGAGAGAUGAUUGAUAACACCCCAUAACAGCUGAGAGGAACAUGGAAGAAACAGAGAUACUUUUAGUGGAACGGAAUAAACCACUGAACAGUGCCUUGAUUUUCCCAUUGGGAAAAAUGAGGAAGCUAUGAGUACCAGUGGAAGGAAUGAGCCAGGGAGACAGACUGGAACCACCUCAGAAGCUGUGCCCCUCAGCCUGGAACCUGCCCUGUCUCCUCCCAGCUGAUGAGGUAGGAGGCUCAGCACUGGCUGCUGGGAGGGUCAGUGGGCCUGUGAGUUAGGAAGGAGGUGGCCCAGAGCAUGGGUCUCUGGGUCCUGAUUAUUUGACUUUUCGAUGACUAGGAUAAGAAACCAGGGCUUAGCUAGUUGGAGAGUUACCAGAACCUCAGGUGACAGUUGUAAGGCAGCACAUAGUGAAAAAGAGUCCUAGGCUGGGAAAGUCCAAAAUCUUGGAUCUGGUUUCAGUUCACUCACCUAUCUCUGUGACGUAACAAAGUCUCUUAACUUCUCUAAUUUUCUGAUUAGUGAUACAGUUGCAGGAAUGAAAUAAAAAUGGUUCUGAUUACUCAAAGAUUCAUUUACUGAUUACUCUUCUUGUGGUCUGAAUGAAGAAUGCAAUAUCUCUCAAAAGGUAACUAUUUAAUAUUUCAGGAAAUUAGAGAAGUUAAGAGACUUUGCUGUAUUACACAGGUAAUUGACAGACAGCUGAGACCAGACCCAAGAUUCAUUCAUAGAAUGAGGGAGUUGAAAAGUACAUACUCUGAGAUUAAUCCUAAAUAAACGAAAGUCUAGGCAAGUGGCUGAGCUAGGUUUGCCAUGAAUCAGUCUGCUGGGUAUAUUUCUUGGUAACUAGUUCAUCUUUCCUUAAUUCAGUCAACAAAUAGGGUAUCAAGUUUAGUACGAUGAUGGUGGAUGUCAUGUAAUACCCCAUCUAGAAGACUGUGUGCUUCUUGCCUUCCCUAACUUUUUUUAAUCUACCUUAAGCUUCCCUUCCGAAAGGUUUCUGUCUUUCCUAUCAGUCUCUUCUUUCCCCCCUAUACCUCUUGUGUUUAAGAAUUGAAGGAAGAUGAGCUAAGAAUAAAGAAAUACCUAAAACUGAUUCCUGUUACUGACCCCACUCUGCCACUUGCCCAGAGUUAUGGUAUAAAUUUUUUUAAUAGGCUGAAAUAAAAGUAUGAAUAGUAUUUUGGUAUUAAGCAUUAAAUUGAUAAAAGUAAAGGCUAUGAGAUAUAGCUGCUCCUCAACCAUGUUAAUUUUUUAUUAUUGGUAUUAAUAAAUGAUUGCUUAUUAACAUAUUACUAACAGGAAUUGCAUUGAGAAACAAAGUAGCCACAGGCCAAAUCUUUUGAAUUUCAAAUGUUAGUACAUUCUAUUCUAGAAAAGUAGAAUAUGUCUUAAGUAGCUUUGUAAUAUGAAGUCAUCGGUCGGUCAGCCCAUUACACCUAUUAGAAUGUUUUCACCUUUAUCUCCCACUUUUUUGUUUCCAAACUGAAUGUACUUGGUCUGAUAUUUGUGGCAUAACUUACGGAACACAUAAGAAUAAUUCAGAUACUAUUUAAUGAUGACCUAGUACAAGCUUUGAUACCUGAGGUGAAGGUUUCUGUGGCCUUAACAUUUUCCUCUUGAAGAAUGUAUUUGCUAUAAUAAAAUACAGUAACUCCUUGAAAUCUAUAAACUUACGUGGGGUCUGGAUAAAUCUGAGCAACUUUCUUCUUUGUGCUCCAGGAACCCAUGCGCUAUAUAUAUAUAUAAAUAAAGCUUCAGUAAACAUUGCAGCAACCCGUGUUUUGUUUGACUAUAUUAGUAUUAUCUGAUCUUCAAAUAAUGAUGAAAAAUAGCCCUUAACCUAAACCAUGAACGGAUAUAAACUUCAGGGAAACAGUUUCUUGGAUAAUUAAACUUUAAUUUCUCACCGUGCCAUACUCUGAUCUUGUAAUAUUUUUUAAAGCAGUCCUGGGGAUUUAUUUUUAAGGCGUCCAAAUGAAUUAUUAGUUCUCAAAAGCCAUAAUAUAUUUGUGGGUCGAUAUAUCCCCAAAACACUAUUUUUUAACUGCUUAGUUUAUUUUUCUUAGCAUGCUCCUCUGCUGCGUAAUUUUCUUUGCUGUGGGUCACGUGAUUCCUCCCGUCCAUAACUCACGCACUUAAAAUUCUCACUUCCUGAUUGAGCCAUUAGAUUACGUAAAAUGUAAAUCAGGCUGAAUACCUAAGAGCAGGAAUUUUAAGGGGAAAAUGCCGUGUUCUUUUUCUGUUUUAUUAUUAACCCUUAAAUAUCAGAGUGAGUGUCUGCUCCUCUGUUUGUAUUUGGAAACGAGAGACUGUUAGGGGUUUUUCUUGGCCCUUCCCUUUCAGAUUGAAUCAGACUUCGCUGCUUUCAUUAUAAAAAAUAAUGUACCAACUAGAUAGACGGUAGGAGUGGGAUCGUUGCAGUAAUGAAACCAAAAGGGCUCCAGUUAUUGAGAGAGAUUCGUUUAUUUAUUAACUCUUUUCAUGAUCUGAAUGAAGAGCACAGCAUCUGCCAAAAGGUAACAAUCUGAUAUUUCAGAAUUGGAAGUGGCCAUUUAGCCUUUCUGCUGCCUCAUAUAAAUGAAAGUAAUUUCUAGCAGGCAGGAUGACGCGUGUUUUAUCUCGAAUCUUACAAUCCAGCACAUUUUCUCAGAGCAGUUUUGAAGCUGUCAUAGUAACAGCAUGACAUUUGGAGGGUCUUUUUAGUAGUUCUGUAGCUGGAGUUAAUUAAUUGUAUUAACUCUGGAUGUUUUUCCUUUUACUCCUCUUUGACAAACAAGGGCUAUAAUUGCUCAAAUAUGUAUUUUGUGUUCUGUAUUUUUUGGUGACUGUGGUUUAAGGAUGUGAUGUUUUGUAAGUGGUUUCAGUAAAGGUUAUCAAUUGAUUUCAGACACUUUAAACCUGGGUUUUUAAUUUCUCUGUAAAAUUGCACUAUCAUUGUAGGACCAGGAUUUAGUUUUAUUUAAGAAGUGAAUUUUGGGAGAUGUUCCCAGGAGAUGUUCCCACAAAAGCAAUUGUGGUUUGCUUCCAGUGGUUACAACUAUCCUUUGCUUUGAUUUUGAUGUAUUUAGAAAAAGAACUGGGAAGUGCAGAAGGGAAACAUGUCAAGCUUACAGGAGAAAACUGUUUCUUAAAAAAUGCAACAGGCAGGCACAACACCAAAAGCGCGUUCCAUAAAAGAAGACAAACACAUUUGACUUUGUGAAACUUAAGAAUACAGUGCUGUUUGAAACUCUAAAGUAUACUUUAAUACAUUCUGUGCUAGGAAGAUUUGUGGGAACUUUUUAUUGGUGGAAAGUAGGUUGGGAACUCCUAUUCUUAAUAUUAAAACUCCGUGGCAGAAAUUCUUGCCAGUACGGCGGUCAGUGAGAAAGGAGGCCCGUUUCUUGGGCAGGGAAGAGGAUCAGAAGAAAGAAUGGUCUGCACUAGGUCUGGAUGGUAGGUAGGACCUAAAAACUAUCAGAUAUACAGUGCUUUUGCUUUCUUAUAAAAGCGAACAGAGAGAUGUGACACUUGUAAAGAUCUCGUGCGUUUUGUGGGUUUCAUGCUAAGGCCACUGUCCUUACUGUUGUGUAUUUGUUCAGCUACGGGCGAUUCAAGGGAGUUGGGGUAGCAGGGUGUGCAGCCAGCAGCAGGCAAGGUGCUAAUGCAUCCCCGGUGAUGUCAGGAGUUACGAGACAGCGGUUUCAAAACACUGCAGUAAACAAGGUCAAAGUGUCCCGUUUCACUGGAAGAAGGUUUGUUUUUAUGAGCUGGACAGUACAUGGAUGAAGUAAUUUUUCAAAACAAACUUUAAAUUUAUACGUGUUUUUUUUUCUUCUUCUUUGGAUUUAAAAAAAAUAUUGGCUGGUUGAGAUUAAAUAAUGGUUACGUUUUUAAGCAGAAUUAUAUUUCAUAUGUUUUUCCAGUCUUGUAUUGAUUUUGUUUUUCACAGAAGAAAUGAAAAUAACUUCUGAUUUAGGGAUUCUUACAUGUAGUUGUAGAGAGCAAGACAGGACCCAGUACUUUGAAAACACGGCAAGUGCAAGUCACCAUCCCUAGUAAGAUACUCCCUCUCAUUUUGACUCUUAUUUAGAUAGACAUUUAAGUACGAGAGAGCUAAUGGCGCAGAUUUCUGCUGACUGUGUGGUUCUAGUCUUAAUGCAUUUUCCAGCCUUGAACCUGAGAAUGCCAGAGAGUUGAGUCUCUGGACAUUCAUCUGAGCAGAUAUCUGCUGGCCGCCUGGUUCCUGAGCUAACAAGUGGGUGUCCCAGGCAUGUGUGUGUAGUCACAACAGCGGAGGUGCCACGUGGCACCCAGAGGUCGACUGGGGCUACCACAGGGCUUCCCGAUCUCAGAAGCGUGUCUUCAGUGUGUGAGAUGGACUGGGAACAUGGGGCAUCUUGAGAAGUGCAGACAUUUGGAGUUCCACGGGGAAACCUGGAUGUAAGCACUCACACAGCUUUUAAAGUGAAAGCAGGGACCUUGAGGGAGGAAUUGGCGUCAUCUCAUUCCUGACCUGCUUACUGUGCUGGGAAACAAAGUAAGUUCUGUUUGUUUCUUUGUUAGUCUCUCCUGCGUGUUUUUUCUUGCUAACAUUAUUAGACACUCAAUAUCUGGCAAAUGCCAAGUUUUUUUCCCCUUCAUUGGGAAGUAGGAUGUAGUUUGUUCAGUAGCUGAUUGCUGCUUUUAUCUUUUCUCUCUUCCCAUAUCUAGCGUGCCGGCUUGCUGUUUAGAGAUAGUAAGAGAUUGAAAUUUAUUAUCAAGGAGAAAACAAAAAGUGUUUCGUUUUGUUUCUUAAUGGCCCAAGAGCUUUGCCAUUAGGUAAAUGACUGACAUGGGCAAGGCAUUUUGCAUGUCAGGAGUACCUCCAGCAAAACCACCCCAGUUCGCCACCCUGAUUUCCAUUUGGAAGCGGGCAAAGCAGGUGUCCCCAGGACAAGUGUGAAGGCAGAGGGUCCUUGUGCAGGAACCGUGCAGAAACUAGGAGGGAAGGGUCACAGACAAGAGGCUGCAAUUUAAAAACACAUCAGGAAAGUUGUGUUGGCAAAGAGCUGUGAGAAUAUAAAUUAUUUAGUGAUGUUGAUACAAACAGAUUUAAUAUAAAAAUGAGAUAAAAUAGAGACCUAACCCCGUUAACAGCAACUAAGCUUUUCUUUCAUGUUAGAGAGUUUUGUGCCAUGUAGAUUUAUGGAACAUGUGCUGAAUUGCCUUCGUCACCUUCAUAGAAGAUUCUGUGACAUUAGCCUAAUUCUGACAUGUGGCCCCUGCUUUCCAUUUUGCUUGUUUGUUUUUUAUGUUGAUCCUCUCUCCAGAGAUGUAAUGUGGAUGAAUUAACUUUUAAUACAAAGUUCUGUGGCUUUUGAAAAUGCAGAACAAAUGGAGAUGAAGAGUGGUUUGUGAUUUGUUAUUAAAUGGUCUUUCCUUCUAAAUCUAGGACUGAUUUUUACUCUAGAAUUUUCUUUUCUUUUUUUUUGAGGGGGGCGUUCAACUUGAACAGCAGCACCUUGAAGGUGAAAGGUAGGAGCAUGACUGGAGUGUGGAACUGGAAAGCAGAAACUUCUAGAUCUAGUAUGGAAUGUCGUGAAUUUGAGUUAGAGCCUCUGUGUCGUGCAAAUUCCCAUUUUAUCUCAAAGUGGUGCUGAUAGCACUGGAGGUGGCUGUAUUUUAUUUGAAACAUUCCAGACUCUUUACAGGAAUAUCUGUGAAUUAUUAAUUCAGCAAACAUCUUUAAGUAUCUCGUCUAUGUACAGCGUUGUAGUCAGCGAUAUAAUUGUUUCACCAUUAAAUUUACAGAAAUUCAGUUUGUAAAUGAAAAGUUAAGAACAGUUUGAAAGAAGGGCGAAUGAGCAGAGUAUUACCAUCGAAACCCUCUUGUUAAAGAUAAUGCCAAGUGAGCAGGACUGUCCUCUUCUGAGCUGCCCCUCCUAAUUAAAGGGAAAGGUGGCUGCCAUCUGUCUUCUUUCAUUCAAGGCAGUAGGGGGUCUAGGGUGGAAGGAAGCAACCCCCCCUUUAUUUUUCUCCCACUCCUUUUUAUAGUCAGCUUUCUCCCUAGUCAGUGACCCAGAAGGUCAUUGAUGAUCUGUCUAUCUCAGAGUGAGGAGUAGCAUAAGCACGCUUGGCACUUGCAGAAAAAAAAAAAGCUUAUAACAUGCAUUGAUCCAUUUAAAGUUCUGUUUGAAUUAUGUCGGAGACUAUCGUAAUCUCUGUGUUGGUGUCUCUGCCCUGUUUGUUACCGAGGGCACUACUGGAAGGAAACAUAGGGAGCUUUACUUUUAUUGAUUUUGCUUUUUCAUGAAAAAGUGUUUACACUCCACUGGGCAUAAUCAGAAGAUGGCAGCAUGUGGCUAUGUACAGGAGAUGUGGGGACGUACUGGAAUAUUAUUAUGAUGAAAAUCAAGGACACCUGUUAAUUAUGAUACAUACAUGUCAUCUCAGGAGAAAACAUGAACAAGGGUGGCAGCAGGUGUCCAAGAUAGUCAGUGGCCUGCUGCAGCUUCUUGGACCAAUUAUUGAAAUAAUUCACAUUGUUUAUCUUUCGUUAAGCAAUAAGGCUUUAGCCCUUUUCUUGUAAGAAUAUGUUGCAGGAGAAUUUAAUUAGUUUGGGGUCAUGUCUUAAUUGCUUGGGAAAUGUAGAAUAGUCUUCCAACAGAAUGAUUGCAUUUUCUUGCCUCAGUUUCCAUCUCUGUAAAUAGAAAAAAUGUGUGCUGCUUUUAUAAAUAUUUAAGAGAAUAUGAAAUAAUAUUUUCUGUCUUUCAUAAGAACUAUAUUAUGACUGAAAAAUUCUGAAAUCUUCAGUUAUUUUUAUUUUCAACUUUUGUAUGCUUAAGCAAGGUGUUAACAGUCUUCUAAAGAGAUUCAGUUGUUACAAACCCGGUUUAGUUCCCAAGUAGCAGAUACGGACUUCUCAGAAUGUACUGGUUUUUAGAACUCUCUUCGUGACACAAAAGUGUGGUAUUUCUUAAACCCAUAACAAUAUAUCUGGAGAGCUCAAAUGUGAGAGUCAUGUCUGUAAUUUCAUUUAGAGCUUUUUUUUUUUUUUCCUUCCACAAUUUGUCACCAACUUGCAACAAGCUUUCUUGGGAACGUAGAUGUGUUUAUGUUGCUGAGUCUUGAGAUGAACGUGUGGGCUUCUGAGGUCAUUGAUGCCUGCUGUGUAUGAUUGGAUGAUACCUGAAAAAUGGGUCACUUCCUAGUCAGCGAGGGGUACACAGGGCACAGGCAGGGCUUUUUUGCUUUUUCCAUGUUUUUGUUUUCGGAGUGUGUGUGUGUGUGUGUGUGUGUGUGUGUGUGUGUACUAAUUUUAGAUACUCAGCUGGGUACUUGAUUGGCUAUCCUUUGUAGCAUGUGAUUUAAAUUAAUUUGGUUUUACCCAUCAGUAUUUAUUUCAAGGGGACUAAAUAAACACAUUAAAUGUAAUUCAAGAAGGAGAUGUGAAAGAGAAGGGGGAAAAAAAAGACACAUUGAAUGAAUCGCUUAAGAACUUUCUAUCUUCUUUUGACCAUCCACAGUGGUGGGAAACCUCUGUCCUUUGACGGUAGGAGGGGGCCAGUAGUGAGGUCUCAUGAAUAUGGUAGGUGAUCAAACCACUGAUUUGAGUCAUUGCUUCAUGUUAUAAACAUGUACUGAGCCAGCUACUACAUUUCAGUAGAAAGUACUGUAGAUUCAAAAGUGAACAGCUCAUGGGUCUGGCAUUUCAGAAAGCCACAGGUUAGUGAGAUAAAUGACUAGAUAAAGAGGUACACGUGUGUUUUUAGAGCCCAGAAGGAGUCAAAAUAAAAUUUUAGGCGGGGCACAGAGGCUCAUAUCUGUAAUCCCAGCACUCUAGGAGGCUGAGGCGGGAGGAUCACUUGAGGCCAGGAGU